rnacentral:rRNA from 1 species
GAUUAAGUUAUUAAGGGCGCACGGUGGAUGCCUUGGCACUAGAAGCCGAUGAAGGACGUUACUAACGACGAUAUGCUUUGGGGAGCUGUAAGUAAGUUUUGAUCCAGAGAUUUCCGAAUGGGGAAACCCAGCAUGAGUUAUGUCAUGUUAUCGAUAUGUGAAUACAUAGCAUAUCAGAAGGCACACCCGGAGAACUGAAACAUCUUAGUACCCGGAGGAAGAGAAAGAAAAUUCGAUUCCCUUAGUAGCGGCGAGCGAAACGGGAAGAGCCCAAACCAACAAGCUUGCUUGUUGGGGUUGUAGGACACUCUAUACGGAGUUACAAAGGACGACAUUAGACGAAUCAUCUGGAAAGAUGAAUCAAAGAAGGUAAUAAUCCUGUAGUCGAAAAUGUUGUCUCUCUUGAGUGGAUCCUGAGUACGACGGAGCACGUGAAAUUCCGUCGGAAUCUGGGAGGACCAUCUCCUAAGGCUAAAUACUCUCUAGUGACCGAUAGUGAACCAGUACCGUGAGGGAAAGGUGAAAAGCACCCCGGAAGGGGAGUGAAAUAGAACCUGAAACCGUGUGCUUACAAGUAGUCAGAGCCCGUUAAUGGGUGAUGGCGUGCCUUUUGUAGAAUGAACCGGCGAGUUACGAUUUGAUGCAAGGUUAAGCAGUAAAUGUGGAGCCGUAGCGAAAGCGAGUCUGAAUAGGGCGUUUAGUAUUUGGUCGUAGACCCGAAACCAGGUGAUCUACCCUUGGUCAGGUUGAAGUUCAGGUAACACUGAAUGGAGGACCGAACCGACUUACGUUGAAAAGUGAGCGGAUGAACUGAGGGUAGCGGAGAAAUUCCAAUCGAACCUGGAGAUAGCUGGUUCUCUCCGAAAUAGCUUUAGGGCUAGCCUCAAGUGAUGAUUAUUGGAGGUAGAGCACUGUUUGGACGAGGGGCCCCUCUCGGGUUACCGAAUUCAGACAAACUCCGAAUGCCAAUUAAUUUAACUUGGGAGUCAGAACAUGGGUGAUAAGGUCCGUGUUCGAAAGGGAAACAGCCCAGACCACCAGCUAAGGUCCCAAAAUAUAUGUUAAGUGGAAAAGGAUGUGGCGUUGCCCAGACAACUAGGAUGUUGGCUUAGAAGCAGCCAUCAUUUAAAGAGUGCGUAAUAGCUCACUAGUCGAGUGACACUGCGCCGAAAAUGUACCGGGGCUAAACAUAUUACCGAAGCUGUGGAUUGUCCUUUGGACAAUGGUAGGAGAGCGUUCUAAGGGCGUUGAAGCAUGAUCGUAAGGACAUGUGGAGCGCUUAGAAGUGAGAAUGCCGGUGUGAGUAGCGAAAGAUGGGUGAGAAUCCCGUCCACCGAUUGACUAAGGUUUCCAGAGGAAGGCUCGUCCGCUCUGGGUUAGUCGGGUCCUAAGCUGAGGCCGACAGGCGUAGGCGAUGGAUAACAGGUUGAUAUUCCUGUACCACCUAUAAUCGUUUUAAUCGAUGGGGGGACGCAGUAGGAUAGGCGAAGCGUGCGAUUGGAUUGCACGUCUAAGCAGUAAGGCUGAGUAUUAGGCAAAUCCGGUACUCGUUAAGGCUGAGCUGUGAUGGGGAGAAGACAUUGUGUCUUCGAGUCGUUGAUUUCACACUGCCGAGAAAAGCCUCUAGAUAGAAAAUAGGUGCCCGUACCGCAAACCGACACAGGUAGUCAAGAUGAGAAUUCUAAGGUGAGCGAGCGAACUCUCGUUAAGGAACUCGGCAAAAUGACCCCGUAACUUCGGGAGAAGGGGUGCUCUUUAGGGUUAACGCCCAGAAGAGCCGCAGUGAAUAGGCCCAAGCGACUGUUUAUCAAAAACACAGGUCUCUGCUAAACCGUAAGGUGAUGUAUAGGGGCUGACGCCUGCCCGGUGCUGGAAGGUUAAGAGGAGUGGUUAGCUUCUGCGAAGCUACGAAUCGAAGCCCCAGUAAACGGCGGCCGUAACUAUAACGGUCCUAAGGUAGCGAAAUUCCUUGUCGGGUAAGUUCCGACCCGCACGAAAGGCGUAACGAUUUGGGCACUGUCUCAACGAGAGACUCGGUGAAAUCAUAGUACCUGUGAAGAUGCAGGUUACCCGCGACAGGACGGAAAGACCCCGUGGAGCUUUACUGUAGCCUGAUAUUGAAAUUCGGCACAGCUUGUACAGGAUAGGUAGGAGCCUUUGAAACGUGAGCGCUAGCUUACGUGGAGGCGCUGGUGGGAUACUACCCUAGCUGUGUUGGCUUUCUAACCCGCACCACUUAUCGUGGUGGGAGACAGUGUCAGGCGGGCAGUUUGACUGGGGCGGUCGCCUCCUAAAAGGUAACGGAGGCGCUCAAAGGUUCCCUCAGAAUGGUUGGAAAUCAUUCAUAGAGUGUAAAGGCAUAAGGGAGCUUGACUGCGAGACCUACAAGUCGAGCAGGGUCGAAAGACGGACUUAGUGAUCCGGUGGUUCCGCAUGGAAGGGCCAUCGCUCAACGGAUAAAAGCUACCCCGGGGAUAACAGGCUUAUCUCCCCCAAGAGUUCACAUCGACGGGGAGGUUUGGCACCUCGAUGUCGGCUCAUCGCAUCCUGGGGCUGUAGUCGGUCCCAAGGGUUGGGCUGUUCGCCCAUUAAAGCGGUACGCGAGCUGGGUUCAGAACGUCGUGAGACAGUUCGGUCCCUAUCCGUCGUGGGCGUAGGAAAUUUGAGAGGAGCUGUCCUUAGUACGAGAGGACCGGGAUGGACAUACCUCUGGUGUACCAGUUGUCGUGCCAACGGCAUAGCUGGGUAGCUAUGUGUGGACGGGAUAAGUGCUGAAAGCAUCUAAGCAUGAAGCCCCCCUCAAGAUGAGAUUUCCCAACUUCGGUUAUAAGAUCCCUCAAAGAUGAUGAGGUUAAUAGGUUCGAGGUGGAAGCAUGGUGACAUGUGGAGCUGACGAAUACUAAUCGAUCGAAGACUUAAUCAA